CCAAAUUCUCCCCUCUUUCUCUCUCCAGGUUCAUUUCAGCUUAGUACACCUGGAAGAAUGAUCUGCAGGUGGCUGGUUCAAGACCUGUUGGUACUCAAGGCAGAAAAUCCAAAUGGCAGUUUCCUCCCUGCACAGAAAUUAACAGGUGGUAUGAUCCACCAGGAAGUUAUCCUCCACAGCACGUGUGAUGAAGCAGAGAUAGGCAGGAAUGAUGGGCUGCCACUUACCGGUAUUUUGCAACAGGUACCAUGCUAUCUCUGUAUCCCCACUGCCGCUUUUAUUUUUAUCCUUACCUGAAGCUUUGUUGCCCAUCAGAAGAAUCAGGCACAGUAUAAGGCAUCGGGGCAGGUUAUGAAGAGGGGGCCCAGUGGCAGUGUGUGCGAGGACCAUCAAAUAUGCCAGUUUUGCUUCUCAUUUUUCCUUUCUUAAAUUCUGUUCUCCUCAUUUCCAUGUCAGUUUGCAAUUUCUCUCUAAGCCCAUGUGAAAAAUUUUCAGCAUUUCAGUGUGAAUUUCUCCUAAUAUAAACAUCUUUGUAUGGCGUUUUUGGCUAAUAGGCACAUUUCCCCCUCAAUGCUGAUUUUCCAUAACACAAGAAGAGCGCUUCUGAAUCAGGCCAAAGGCCCAUCUAGCCCAACAUCCUGUUCCCACAGUGGCCAGUCAGAAGCAUCUUCUGGGAAUUCAGGGAGUUCAAGGCUACCAGUGGCUGCUCACCAGGAUGGCUAUGCUUUGCCUCCACAGCUGGAGGCAGCAACACUUCUGAAUACAAUUUUCCUGGAAACCACAGGAACGGAGAGUUGCUCUUGUGCUCAAAUCCUGCUAGUGAAUUUCCCUUUGGGGCAUCUGGUUGGCCACUGUGAAAAGAGGAUUCUGCACUAGAUGGACUAGUGGUUCUUACAUUAUUACAAGCAAAUUUCUCCCAUCUAUUCCAUCCCCCUAUUUCCCCCAUGGUCCCGUCUGCUUUCUGUCUUCUUCCUUCUGGAUUCCAGUUCAGCUAGGAGAAUUUCUUAAAAUGAUUUCCAGAAUUAGGGCACGGGCGUUCUGCCUCAUCUUUCUGUUCCAUCUGUUCAUUUGCAUCUUCUUCUUUUUUUAAAUCCUCUGGGUUACCAAAGCAUGCGUGCGCAUUGAUACCACACUGGAAGGGGGAAAGGAAGGCGGUCUUGAUGUGAUUUUAUUGCACACAGGGCUGCUUUCAGACUCUUUCCUGCCUUUGUUUUUAUAGGGUUUCAGGAAGGCAUGCCUGGUCUCCUGCAUGUUGGUAAAGAGCAUGAGUAAAAGAGGCAGAGGGAAGGGACUCUAACCUGUACAGUACUCUGUACAAGAUUCAGAAUAUUUGAAAAUGAAAUAACAUAGGUUACCUAAUGCAGGGCUGGGUAGACAUCAGGUCUACCCAGGAUUCCCUGUUAUGAUGUCCACAUCAUAAAACACAUAUAAAUCACAUGGACCCCACCCCCACAAAAAAGGAAUAUUGGGAACUGUAGUUUACCACUCUGACAGUGCUACAAUUCCCAGCACCCUUAACAGACUACAGGAUUCUUUGAGGGAAAUUUUAUUUAUUUAUUUUCCUAUUUAUUUCGUAAAAUUUAUACACCAUUUGGUUUUUUUUAAAGCAUCCUCAAAGCAGUUUACAAAAUAUAUAUAGCAAUAAAAGUAUCAAUAUGAAAAAAUUUAAACAACGAUUUAAUACUUUCAAAAAGUUAAAAUAACAGUAGGUUAAAAACAGAUUGAAACUCGUAUCAGCUUUCUAAACAUCUGGGCAGGCUAGCCUAAACAGGCGCUGAAAAGAGUAUAGUGAAGGCACUUGCCUGGUGUCAACAGGCAGGGAGUUCCAAAGUGCAGGAGCUGCCGCACCAAAAUAUCAGUUUCUGACAAAUUUAAAACUCCAAAGUUGAGGUUUGAGGUUUCACAUUUUCCUCAUGAUAAACGAGUGACAAAGAACAGCCCUGGGCUCAUUUGGGAGGAAGGGCGGGAUAUACAUUUGAAAAGAUGGCUGUAGCUCAGUGGUAGGACAUCUGCUUUGCAUGCAGAAGGUCCCAUGUUUAAUCCCAGAUGGCAUCUUCAUGUAAGUCUGGGAGAAAACAUUGUCUGAAUGUCCAAAGAGCUGUUGCCAGUCAGAGUAGACAAUAUUGAGCUAGAUAGACCAAUCUCUGAAUCAGCAAAGGACAGCUCCUUAUUUAAAUCAUGCUUUUAUUUAGAAACGAUGAGGACUAGAAUCUUAUUUUAUUUUGGAGGAGGGGCCAUAGUUCUGUCUCUGAAACCCCAGAGAACCACUGUCAGUCAGUGUAGAGAAUAGUGAGCUAGAUGGACCAGUGGUCUGACUCAGGAUAAUGUGACUUCCUCUGUUUCUAUUUAAUACAGUAUUUUAUUCAGAAACAUGAGGACUAGAAUCUUAUUUCAGUUUUAGAGGAAAGGGUGAAUGUCAGUCGUAGAGCAUCUGUCUUGCAUGAUGAAGGUCCAAGGUUCCAUCCCCAGUGACAUCUCCCAAGUAGGGCAGGUCUGAAACCCUGGAGAGCUGCUGCCAGCCAGUUUGAACAAUACCAAGCUGACAUCACAGUUUAAGAAGUAUAUUCACAAGCUGGAAUGUGUGCAGCCAAGAUGAUAAAGGGUCUGGAAACCAAGCCUUAUGAGGAAUGGUAGAAGGAUUUGGGCGUGUUUAGCCAAGAGAAGAGAAGAAGAGUUUGGAUUUGCUAUCCCACUUUAUCACUGCCCUAAGGAGUCUCAAAGCAGCUAACAUUCUCCCUUCCCUUCCUCCCCCACAACAAACACUCUGUGAGGUGAGUGGGGCUGAGAGACUUCAGAGAAGUGUGACUGGCCCAAGGUCACCCAGCAGCUGCAUGUGGAGGAGCAGGGAAGCGAACCCGGUUCACCAGAUUACGAGUCCACCAUUCUUAACCACACUGAAGGCUUAGAGGUGCCAUCAUAACCAACUUCAAGUAACUGAAGAGCUCCCACAUGGAAGAUGGAGCAAGCUUGUUUUCUGCUGCUCCAGAUGGUAGGACCCAAACCAAUGGAUUCAAAUGACAGGAAAGGAGAUUCUGACUAAGCUGUAAGUGCCUUUUGACUGUUGAAUGGGCUCCCUCAGAAAGUGGCAGGCUCUGCUUCAUUGGCGGGGCUAUUGGCAUGUUCUUUUUCUUACUUUUAAGGUAUUUUGUGCUUUUUAUUAUCUUGUAUUUUUAUGUUUUGAACCAUCCUGGAAUCUAUGGAUGAAGGGCAGUAUACAAAUUUAAUAAAUAAUAAAAUAAAAGUAAGUAGAGGUUGAAUAGCCGUCUGUCAUGGAUUUUUUAUCUAUGAUUCCAACAUCGCAGGAGGGUUGGACAGGAUGACCCUUAAGGUCCUUUCCCACUGUACAAUUCUAUGAUUUUAUGUGUCAGGGAAUCAGUGCAGAUAGAAUAGCAGUCUGAGCCGAUACACAACACCUCCCUGUUCCCGGGAUAUAAACUACCACAAGCGGCUUCCUCUUGAACUGCUCCCUAUCACUGCACUUCUCCUGUAAGGCACAUCCUCAGGGGAACCGUAGAUUGAAUCCAGCGCUCUCUAUUCAUAGGAGCUUGGAGAUUCUCCACGCAGGGCCUCCGUGGCAGAUGAGUGAGGGGUUGCUUGCCACACAGAUUGUUGCAAUCGGAUUCCCCUGGUGGUGGGUCAGUAAUUUUGAAGAACUUUGCUCUGACACAUCGCAGGGAAGUGGUAAGGUCUCCCAGCACAGCCUCUCCUGGCUCAAAGGCCAGCUUUCACGUAGGACUGUUCUGUUUUGUUUUAGAGGAAGGUGGCAACGAUCUCUCUUCCUCGCACCAGCUCACCAUUUGUCUGACUACAGACAUCAAAACAUUUAAACAGAAGGCUGGUCUGCUCCAAGAAGAGACCAGGCAGCAUUCGUUUCACCAAGACUUGUUGUGGGAUCAAACCUUCUCAAAAAAUUUGCCAUGAUAGGUCCUGCCAUGUUUCCAUUGAAAAUACCAUAAUGCUAGAAAAAUGCAACCUGUGUUGCUGUUAGAAGUAGUACGAUUCAUGCAACAUGUUGGCAAUUAAUAUACACACAAUAAUGACCAAAAUAAUUAUGCAUUCUUUAUUAAUCUUCUGAGAAAAAUACACAAACUUAUGCAAAGCCACAGAGACUUGCGAACUACCCAACCUGAGAUGAACUUAAAUUGUCUGAUUUCAAUGGAUUUUUCAAGUGCUUAACUCAGUCUUUUGUUUUCUUUAUCUUUUUAGGUAAGUUCAUUAAGAUACCAACAAAAGAUAAGAUCGAUGUUGUUCACAAUACCGAGAGAUGCUAGUGAAGUUGUAGAUGUAUGUUAAUAAAGUUGUUUCGCCCUGGCAGUCCAAGUAAUAAAGAUCUUAAACCAAGAAAUAGUAUUCUCUAUGAAAUUGAAUAUCAAUAUACAUCUCAAGGCUUUGAGAUUAGGCCACUGAAGAAGCCCGGAAAACUACCUUGGGAGUGCAAGUGCUACCUGCAAUCCCCAGUAAAAGGACCCCAUUGGGCAAACAGCAGCCUCUUGCUUACUUUUCUGUAUAUUAGUCGCC